AGGGAAUCUUCCGCAAUGGACGAAAGUCUGACGGAGCAACGCCGCGUGAGUGAUGAAGGUUUUCGGAUCGUAAAACUCUGUUGUUAGGGAAGAACAAGUACCGUUCGAAUAGGGCGGUACCUUGACGGUACCUAACCAGAAAGCCACGGCUAACUACGUGCCAGCAGCCGCGGUAAUACGUAGGUGGCAAGCGUUGUCCGGAAUUAUUGGGCGUAAAGCGCGCGCAGGCGGUUUCUUAAGUCUGAUGUGAAAGCCCACGGCUCAACCGUGGAGGGUCAUUGGAAACUGGGAGACUUGAGUGCAGAAGAGGAGAGUGGAAUUCCACGUGUAGCGGUGAAAUGCGUAGAGAUGUGGAGGAACACCAGUGGCGAAGGCGGCUCUCUGGUCUGUAACUGACGCUGAGGCGCGAGAGCGUGGGGAGCAAAC
rnacentral:rRNA from 1 species